GGGGGGGGGGGGGGGGGGGGGGGGGGCGGGCGGGGCGGGCGGGCGGGGGGGGGGCUGGCGCCUCUGGCGUGAGCGGCGGACGGGUGAGUGACACGGGGAUAACCUACCUAUGAGACUGGGAUAACUGCGGGAAACCGGAGCUAAUACCGGAUAAUAUAUUGACCCGCAUGGUUCAAUAGUGAAAGACGGUUUUGCUGUCACUUAUAGAUGGAUCCGCGCCGCAUUAGCUAGUUGGUAAGGUAACGGCUUACCAAGGCAACGAUGCGUAGCCGACCUGAGAGGGGGAUCGGCCACACUGGAACUGAGACACGGGCCAGACGCCUACGGGAGGCAGCAGUAGGGAAUCUUCCGCAAUGGGCGAAAGCCUGACGGAGCAACGCCGCGUGAGUGAUGAAGGUCUUCGGAUCGUAAAACUCUGUUAUUAGGGAAGAACAAAUGUGUAAGUAACUAUGCACGUCUUGACGGUACCUAAUCAGAAAGCCACGGCUAACUACGUG
rnacentral:rRNA from 1 species